rnacentral:lncRNA from 1 species
ACUCCGGCGCGUUGGCCGCGGCAGCAGCCUUCAGCCAACACCGCGCGGCCGCGGCUGCCGCGGGGUACACCCCCAUGGCGCCCGGGCAGCAGCAGCAACCGCCCCCUCACCAGCAGGACUCCGUGUGGUAAGCUGUCGUCGCUACGUUCUCUACCACCGCCGGCCGUCACCACCGACCACCACCGUCAACAUCACUUCUCUCCAGAUUAUUCCAUGUGAACAUCUUCAGCCUUGCGACCUAGAGCAUCAUGCUUGAACCCUCUUGAGCAACUUAUCGCGACAAAAUAUCCCUUUUAAAACGGAAAAAUUAUCACUGUCUAGCAAAGAAAAAAGUUCCUGGGAAGUUUGUGUGGCAUUAGCUGAACUCGCGCAGAUCUUGUUCUUAAUAAUGAAGCAGUAAUUUCGCGCGUAUGCCUGAAUCUAAUAUUAAAAGGAAAAAUGCUAAGUGUUGUUUAUAUUUUGACGCGUUUAGAUAGUAGCAGCUUAAUUAUGUAAUCAUUUAGUACUGGCUGCCAGUAUUUAGUAAAUGCGAGUUCAUCGCAACGCCAUUACCUACUGGGGGAACUGAUGAACUCCUGUACAAUUGACGACCUGCUUACUAACGGUAAUUUAUUGUUCCCCCCAUCCCGCGUUAGUUGAGCCUUCACCAUAAACAGUGAAUGAGCUAAUUAUUGGCCUCUUCAGGAUGUGUAUAUUACCUCUCCUGAUGGUUUGGCUGCCCAGACACUCCAGCUGCGAUAGUCCAGUGGCUAGAGUCCAAUGAAGCUCGGCACGCGCGCAAUUGUUGGCGUUAUUGGCGUUCGAGGUUUCCUUGAAAACCUCAUUUUUUUCUCUCGAGUUCUAAACUUCUUGAGCAUGACUAAUAGGAGACUCAAUUUUUGCAUUAUUACCGCGAUAGUGAAUCAAGUCUCCUUGUAUUUUAUCUGACUAUACUGACCAUUCUCGCUAGAUUCUUUCCUGGUCUGAGACUUUCUUGAAUUACUUUCGAUCGAGUUGAUUCACUUAUUUUUUCGCAAUUAAAUAUUAGUGGAGCAUGCAAUUACAUUUUUUACGAACAUGAAACCAUUCGAGUCAUUUUAUUUUAUUCAUUUACGUUAAUUUUCACUGUCGUCGUAGGAAAUGAGCCAAAUAUGCCUGAAACUUCAGUGAAUAUUUUUAAUUAAAUGUAAUUCACGAUAUAUAGUUUGAAGUCUGGUGCAUAUGAUAAUGUUUAAUUUGACAUUGUUUGCAAUAAUUUUUACUGAAUUAAAUUUUAAUGUAACUUCUAGAUGCAAUAAAACAGGUGGACUGUGGUGGAAAAUAGUGUAUUAAUCUAACGUACUUUUGUUCUAAAUUGUUUAGCGAGUAGAUUGAAUUGGGCGUAGAUUUGACUUAUUUUUACUGAGUGAGAGAGCAGUUGGUGCUUCGUUGUUUUCUGCUCCUCAUAUUGAUUACCCCACCGAUACCUCUCACUUCUCCCCAAAAAUAAUUUUUACUUCCUCCCCACCGAUUCCUCUUACUCCCUCCCACCGAAUCCUUGCUACCUCCAACUGAUACCUCUUGCUACCACCUAGCUUUUAUACCUGUCGAUAUUUCCUUCCCUUCAUAGUUGUUUAUUUUCCAUCAAAUCAGGUGGACUCUCAAUAUUCACUGGCUAUGUUAACUUUAUUUCUCCUACUUAUGUUAUUCUUCUACCAAGGCAACGUUAAUAGAAGGCCUAAAAGAUUUUGAAGGGACAAAAUGUUAAGAAUGUUCAGAUCUUUACUGCGAAAUUUUUCGAAAUUGUGUUUCUAGAUUGGAAUUUUGGCAGUGCCAGUUCCAUAACAUAGGUUGGGAGCUUUGAUUGUAAGUUUUUGUCAGGAGAUUUUUAUUAUAUUGACUAAUUAUUAUGAUAAUUACCUUGGCAUUUUAGUCUAAUUUAGCUGCUCCAAGAUAUCCUCAGAUGUUAGUACUUAAGAGCUGCAUUCUGAAAUUUGAUGCAAAUUUAUUAAAACCAAUCGUAAAAUCCCCUAAUAUGGAAAAAAGUUUUGAUUGGAUAAGAUCUGCAUCGGCGUGACGGUGUCAGUGGAAUGACUGAUUGAGUGAAUGUGAUUAAGUGGUGAAAGUUUAUGAAAGAUUUUUGUUGCCUUAUUAAAAUUGCUUGAUGUUUUAGAAUUUAGAUGAUGAAAGACUAACAGCAGCAUUAUUCAGAAGCUCGAAUAGUCUUAUCCCUUCAGGAAAACGAUACAAUGAACUUCGUUCCGCAAGACCAAAGAGUAGCCUACUGCUGAUUUUCUCCUUCUACUUCUAGUAGUAACGAUAAUGAUACUAAUAAUAUAAAUGCUAGUUAUGGCAACCAGCUUCAUUGAUGAUAAAGUACAAUUUGAGAUUUAAGCCCAACUGUAUGAGAGUGUUAAUCUUAAGCAUUUCUCGCUGGAAUAGCAUUUAUUUUCUCUUCAAAAUUGUUAUUCUCUAUACAUGACUCCGAAGGGAGAUUUUUUACCGCUACAUUUAUAUUGAUAUCAUUGAUGGUGUCUAUUUAGUGUUUAAAUAAAUUGCUCUAAGAACAUAUUCUUACCGGUGAUAGUAAGAACAAAGCUACUCACUGAUCUAACGGAGCAGUAAUUAUAACGUCGAUUUAUUCAAUGUCCUAGCAUCGUAGACAUUACCGAAGUAAAGUUGUGAUUCUCAGUAGGGUUAAUCGCAUAGUAUCCUAAUUUUGUAUCUGAAAGUUUUAUCGUAAAAUAAUUGACGUAUCUGACUAAUGUGUAAGGGUGAAGAAGUUGCCAUCAGUUUAGAGUGUGACCUUGUAAUCAUUCAUCAGAUUCUCUUUUGUCCCCGGUCAAACACGGCUUAAAUAUUGCCGUCGUCGCUCUAUCUACUCAGAUUUUGAGUUCGAAAAAGAUCGAUUGCUAUGUGAAUGAAAGUGUGACUUAGUCUAAUGAUGCCUUUUGUAUAGAAUUUAGGUUUUAAGUUAUAGCCUAUAUUUUGUACAUAGAGGAGAAAAAUUUCGGAUGGAAGCAAGUGCUGUGUUGCGGAUUUUUGCGAGAGAUGUGUAUGGAUUGUGCGAUGCUGUUUCUUGACAGCGCUUUCUUUAAGAAGUGAUAGACGAGCAGUAGCGUCGGGCUCGGUGGUUGUGCUCGAGGGCCCCGGCGGUGGUGGCGAGAGGUGGGUGAACCGCAGAGAUAGAGUCUCUCAUUACCUUCGUACAAACUGUGUUCUCUACGGUGGUGAGAGUUGGGGCAUAUUAUCAUGACCUUUUGCCCCUUGCGACGGAUGGACUAGUAGGAGUCAACCUUGUACUAAUAUUAAACUGUCGCCAGAUAAUCCCUGAGCUAUGGUUGAACUUCUGCUAAUUUUUAACUGUAGGUGUAGUCAGUUUCCUUAUUAGUGACAAGUUUGCGCUGUUCAACCCUUGCUAAGUGUGAGUGCGGUCUCUAGGCUAGUUGGUAGAAUAAGUUUGUUUGGAGUGGGUAUGGUAUAGGGUUAUGUAGUAUGUAGUAUAAGAUUUUGCAUGCAACCGAUCACUGCUUCUUAAGAGCAUGGCCGGUCUUCGUAGUUAGUGUUCUAAUCAUUCGUUCUUUCUUACUCGUAAUGUCUAACAAGGAGGGGGAAAAGACGGGCAAAUGUUAAUAUUAUCGUGGAAAAUGAAGCAUUUCUCUUCGAUCAAAUUGUCAUCCAAGGACCCUAAGCUAGAACCACAUGGCAUUUUAAAUAGUGGUUUGGAGAACAGUGCUUCGCAUGUCCUAUUAAGAAGAGUCCAGUUAAUUCCCACCUUCUUGUACUCGUGUUACCUGAUCAUGUUGCGCGACCCUCUUGCCUAUUUAGAUGAGCUAUAUCGCUGCACUCCCUCGCCUUCCGGUAGUCGCUCUUUGACCACCCGCGUUACGUUGUGCUACGUCACUCCACUGCUAAGUUUAUCUCUGCGGAGGGGCGUCAGCAGCGUCAAAAGAUUUCAGGCUGUCGCCUGUGGUUGCCGGCUUUGUUUCACUUUGUCAAUGACGCUUAGAUUUUAGAACGUUUCCAGGCACUGUGCGUGCGUUUUCAUGUUCUGUUCGUUUUCCUCUGCUACUAAUAAGAAUAAUGCUGUAAUACCGCUUCGUGAAUCAUCUUUUGAGACUUGUAGUUUUGCAAAUUAUAUUUAACGACUAAAACCUGGCUCUCAUAUUAUUAAGUUGUGAGAAUUGGUAGUUGGUAACCCUCGGUCUCAUUUCCGUUGUGUGUGAUUGUUGAUACUCAUUCUUGAUGAGCGAUUUUCGCGCGUUAAUUCUAAUUCUUGUUCUACUGUUUGCAGAAUUAAUACUAUGAAGUUGUGAGGACGGAUAAUUGUCACUAAUUUGUGUCGAUGCAAUCCUCCGGAACUGUUAGUUUUAAUAAAAUUCCCGUAGCCGUAUUGCAGCAUAUCAGUGCAUGAAACUUGUCGUGGUGUUACUGAUGUAUCUAGCUAUAAGAAUUUGUGUUGUUUACAAGCGUUUUUUUCUUAUUUUAAGGGCAGGGUUUAAUUAUUAUUAUUCUAAGAAAGCAUUCUCGUGUGCACUUGCAGCCAACUUCGAUUACCUGUUGCCUGGUGCCAGCAUCCGCUUGUGGAUGGCCACUGUCUACCUCACAUGUAGUGAGAGUUUUUAAGGUUCUAAAGGUUCUGGUGAACACAAACUGCUAUCGGCACCUCGCCAAACACUCUGCAUAGGCGUACGCUUCAAUCUCUCGAGCAAUGCAAGGGACUCCUCGUGCUCUAGUGUCAACUCCUCAAGUGCUAGACUUAUGCCUCUACUUCUUAAUCGUAUAUAAAACAAAUUAAAAAUGAUAAUACAACUUGCUAAACGAUACAUGAUUUUUUCAUACUUUUAUAUUUUGGCGCGUUUUGUCUAUUUAUGUAGUAAUCUUAAGGCGAUAUUAGGUUAAUUUUUUAAAUGUAUCACAAGUUUUAUAGUGAUGUAUAUAACUUCUGGAUAACACUUACAUUAAUAGUACGAUCUAAGUGUACAUAAGAUUUGCAUUAUUGGUUGUAAAUAAUUACUGAUGACAUUUAGAAAUAGCCCGGUAGAAAUUUUGGGGAAAAAUCUAUUUAUUGCUUGUUCAGUUUUUUGGUUAAGGGAUUUUUCUGUUGUGAACCGAACUGUAUUAAGUUGAGAGUAUAGUCUGCAGCAGCUGGCGUUGUGAUGCUAGAUAAGGUAGCUCUUUAAAGCUCUGUAACAUCUUUAGGAUAAUAAGCUUAGGCUGCUCCUCUCCACGUUGUAGUCCACCGUUAGCCCUAAGUCAACGUUCUUUAUGGCCGAAACUCCUAGCGGAUUCGUUCUAGGGCUGAAAUCUUAAGCUUUAAUCGUAGCACCUUAUGCAGAGUGUUUGGCGAGUUAUACAAGUUCAUGAGAUCGCACAUGACCAAUGGUAGAAGGUCGUGAUGACCUAAUGAGGCUCGCAGCUACGCCUUAUUUGAAAGAUUUUAUGAACGUCGAUGUGCUGGUAUGAGUUGUUCCAGGACCUAAUUCUUAAAUAACCGAUUAAAGUGUGCCUCAAACACACGCUAAUUAUGCUCAAAUCAAUGAUGUAAGUGAAGGAAUUCUUUAGAUAAUUCUUACCGAAAUUAUUGAUGAACUAUUUAGACGUAUUUCUGAUAAGUACUUUUUAUCACUUAAAUUCAUCGGAGCCAUUAAAAUUUAAGUAGUUUAAUUCUUGACGCAUUUUUAUUUAACUCUUGUACAUAGUAGAGUUAAGGCUGCAGAAAUUAGACGAGUGCCACAUUAUAGGUAUAAAUGAUAGACUUAGUUACUUUGUACAAUCCAUAUUAGUUCUUCUAAGCAGCUGAUUACCGGCUUAUAAGAAAGAAAUGUUUGAAGCUA